GACGAACGCUGGCGGCGUGCCUAAUACAUGCAAGUAGAACGCUGAAGAGAGGAGCUUGCUCUUCUUGGAUGAGUUGCGAACGGGUGAGUAACGCGUAGGUAACCUGCCUUGUAGCGGGGGAUAACUAUUGGAAACGAUAGCUAAUACCGCAUAACAAUGGAUGACACAUGUCAUUUAUUUGAAAGGGGCAAUUGCUCCACUACAAGAUGGACCUGCGUUGUAUUAGCUAGUAGGUGAGGUAAUGGCUCACCUAGGCGACGAUACAUAGCCGACCUGAGAGGGUGAUCGGCCACACUGGGACUGAGACACGGCCCAGACUCCUACGGGAGGCAGCAGUAGGGAAUCUUCGGCAAUGGGGGCAACCCUGACCGAGCAACGCCGCGGGAGUGAAGAAGGGUUUCGGAUCGUAAAGCUCGGUUGUAAGUCAAGAACGGGUGUGAGAGUGGAAAGUUCACACUGUGACGGUAGCUUACCAGAAAGGGACGGCUAACUACGUG
rnacentral:rRNA from 1 species